UACGGAGGGUGCAAGCGUUGUCCGGAAUCACUGGGCGUAAAGGGCGCGUAGGCGGCUCGGUAAGUAGGGGGUGAAAUCCUGCGGCUCAACCGCAGGGCUGCCUUCUAAACUGUCGAGCUCGAGCACGGUAGAGGCAGAUGGAAUUCCCGGUGUAGCGGUGGAAUGCGUAGAGAAUCGGGAAGAACAUCAGUGGCGAAGGCGGUCUGCUGGGCCGUUGCUGACGCUGAGGCGCGACAGCGUGGGGAGCAAACAGG
rnacentral:rRNA from 1 species